AAUUGUCAUAACCCCUUUCGCAUUAGUCAUUGACAAAAAAGUGAGGCCAAAGAUGACAUUUUCAAUCUUUAUGAAGAUGGUGGCACUAAGCAUACUAGAGCCAGUUAUUGAUCAGAAUUUAUACCUUUUGGGAAUGAAAUACACAGCAGCAACCUUUGCCGCUGCCAUGACCAAUAUGCUUCCUGCCAUUACCUUUGUCUUGGCCUGCAUU